rnacentral:rRNA from 1 species
AACGAACGCUGGCGGCAGGCCUAAUACAUGCAAGUCGAACGGAUGUAGCAAUACAUUAGUGGCGCACGGGUGCCUAACGCGUGGGAACAUACCCUUGAGUAAGGAAUAAUGUCUGGAAACGGACACUAAUACCUUAUAAUGACUUCGGUCCAAAGAUUCAUCGCUCAAGGAUUGGCCCGCGUCUGAUUAGCUAGUUGGUGAGGUAACGGCUCACCAAGGCGACGAUCAGUAGCUGGUCUGAGAGGAUGAUCAGCCACACUGGGACUGAGACACGGCCCAGACUCCUACGGGAGGCAGCAGUAAGGAAUAUUGGAAAAUGGGGAAACCCUGAUCCAGCCAUGCCGCGUGAGUGAAGAAGGCCUUAGGGUUGUAAAGCUCUUUCAAUAGUGAAGAUAAUGACGGUAGCUAUAGAAGAAGCCCCGGCUAAAUUCGUGCCAGCCGCCGCCGUAA